GAUGAACGCUGACAGAAUGCUUAACACAUCAGCAAUUGAUUGGUGGCGGACGCGUGAGUAACGCGUAAGGAUCUUGCCUCACCUCUAGGGACAGAAUUUGUAAACGAAUGCUAAUACCUAAUACUUUGGGAGAGCGUUGCGUACCAGUAGCUAGUGGGAGAGGUAACGGCUCACCAAGGCGAGGAUGGGUAUCCCGCCUGGGAGGGUGAUCGGCCACAAGGGGUCUGGGACACGGCCCUUACGCCUACGGGAGGCAUCAGUGAGGAAUAUUGGACAAUGGGCCAAAGUCUGAUCAAGCAAUUCGGUGGGAACGAUGAAUUUUUCGGAAUGAAAAGUUCUUUCAGUUGGGAAGCGGUACCAACAGAAGAAGUGACGGCUAAAUACGUGCCAGCCGCCGCGGUAAUUC
rnacentral:rRNA from 1 species